GCCUCUGUAAUCUAAUUGGCUAGGACACUUGCGCGUAAAAUGAGAAAUCCGGGUUCGAUUCCUGGCUGAGGUA
rnacentral:tRNA from 1 species